UGCCGGGCGACGGCCAGCCCAUGGGGGCGCUGACCUCGCCCCGGGGGAAGCUGGAGCUCGCGGCCGCCACCCUGGGCGGCGCGGCCCCCUUCUGCCUCGUGGGGAAGGACCGGCCCGCCGCGAAGGGCGGGGAGCAGUUCCUGCCGCUCCACUUCUACAGGAAGGGCGGCGGCAGCAGCGGCAG
rnacentral:ribozyme from 1 species